GAUGAACGCUGGCGGCGUGCCUAAUACAUGCAAGUCGAGCGAACAGACGAGGAGUUUGCUCCUCUGACGUUAGCGGCGGACGGGUGAGUAACACGUGGAUAACCUACCUAUAAGACUGGGAUAACUUCGGGAAACCGGAGCUAAUACCGGAUAACAUGUUGAACCGCAUGGUUCAACAGUGAAAGACGGUCUUGCUGUCACUUAUAGAUGGAUCCGCGCCGCAUUAGCUAGUUGGUAAGGUAACGGCUUACCAAGGCAACGAUGCGUAGCCGACCUGAGAGGGUGAUCGGCCACACUGGAACUGAGACACGGUCCAGACUCCUACGGGAGGCAGCAGUAGGGAAUCUUCCGCAAUGGGCGAAAGCCUGACGGAGCAACGCCGCGUGAGUGAUGAAGGUCUUCGGAUCGUAAAACUCUGUUAUUAGGGAAGAACAAAUGUGUAAGUAACUAUGCACGUCUUGACGGUACCUAAUCAGAAAGCCACGGCUAACUACGUG
rnacentral:rRNA from 1 species